rnacentral:rRNA from 1 species
AGUAUAGGAACUUGCCUAGUAGUGGGGGACAACGUGUGGAAACGCACGCUAAUACCGCAUAAUCUCUACGGAGGAAAGUGGGGGACCUUUCGGGGCCUCAUGCUAUUAGAUAGGCCUAUAUAGGAUUAGCUAGUUGGUAAGGUAAUGGCUUACCAAGGCGACGAUCCUUAGCUGGUUUGAGAGAAUGAUCAGCCACACUGGGACUGAGACACGGCCCAGACUCCUACGGGAGGCAGCAGUGGGGAAUAUUGCACAAUGGAGGAAACUCUGAUGCAGCAAUGCCGCGUGUGUGAAGAAGGC